rnacentral:rRNA from 1 species
GAUGAACGCUGGCGGCGUGCCUAAUACAUGCAAGUCGAGCGAACGGACGAGAAGCUUGCUUUUCUGAUGUUAGCGGCGGACGGGCGAGUAACACGUGGAUAACCUACCUAUAAGACUGGGAUAACUUCGGGAAACCGGAGCUAAUACCGGAUAAUAUUUUGAACCGCAUGGUUCAAAAGUGAAAGACGGUCUUGCUGUCACUUAUAGAUGGAUCCGCGCUGCAUUAGCUAGUUGGUAAGGUAACGGCUUACCAAGGCAACGAUGCAUAGCCGACCUGAGAGGGGGAGAGGGCAAGAGGGGACGAGGAACAGGGUCCGACGCCGUAGGGGGGCCGCAGGAGGGAAGCUUGAUGAAUGGGGGAAAACCUGACGGAGCAAAGCCCGGGGAGUGAUGAAGGUCUUCGGAUCGUAAAACCUUGUUAAGAGGGCAGAACAUAUGUGUAAGUAACUGUGCACAUCUUGACGGGAGCUAAUCAGAAAGCCACGGCUAACUACGUG